CUACGUGCCAGCAGCCGCGGUCAUACGUAGGGUGCAAGCAUUAUCCGGAGUGACUGGGCGUAAAGAGUUGCGUAGGCGGUUUAAUAAGUGAAUAGUGAAACCUGGUGGCUCAACCAUACAGACUAUUAUUCAAACUGUUAAACUCGAGAGUGGUAGAGGUAACUGGAAUUUCUAGUGUAGGAGUGAAAUCCGUAGAUAUUAGAAGGAACACCAAUGGCGUAGGCAGGUUACUGGACCAUUUCUGACGCUAAGGCACGAAAGCGUGGGGAGCGAACUGGAUUAGAUACCCAGGUAGUCCACGCCGUAAACGAUGGAUACUAGCUGUUGGAGGUAUCGACCCCUUCAGUAGCGAAGCUAACGCGUUAAGUAUCCCGCCUGUGGAGUACGGCCGCAAGGCUAAAACAUAAAGGAAUUGACGGGGACCCGCACAAGCGGUGGAUCAUGUUCUUUAAUUCGAUGAUAAACGAAGAACCUUACCAGGGUUUGACAUCCCGA
rnacentral:rRNA from 1 species